AAUAUCAAAGGUGAGCCAGUACAGGAUGGACCCGCGUCUGAUUAGCUAGUUGGUAAGGUAACGGCUUACCAAGGCGACGAUCAGUAGCCGACCUGAGAGGGAGAUCGGCCACAUUGGAACUGAGACACGGUCCAAACUCCUACGGGAGGCAGCAGUGGGGAAUAUUGCACAAUGGGCGAAAGCCUGAUGCAGCAACGCCGCGUGAGUGAUGAAGGCCUUCGGGUCGUAAAACUCUGUCCUCAAGGAAGAUAAUGACGGUACUUGAGGAGGAAGCCCCGGCUAACUACGUGCCAGCAGCCGCGGUAAUACGUAGGGGGCUAGCGUUAUCCGGAUUUACUGGGCGUAAAGGGUGCGUAGGCGGUCUUUCAAGUCAGGAGUGAAAGGCUACGGCUCAACCGUAGUAAGCUCUUGAAACUGGGAGACUUGAGUGCAGGAGAGGAGAGUGGAAUUCCUAGUGUAGCGGUGAAAUGCGUAGAUAUUAGGAGGAACACCAGUUGCGA
rnacentral:rRNA from 1 species